UUCCAAUUGAUGUAGGACGUACUGUGUAGAAGAUUUGUUAAAGCUUGGGAACAGGAAAGUGUCAAUGAUUUAUGGCUGUUGGUAUAAUUUUAAACACUAUUUGACAUCAUUUGUAUUCCUCUUUGACAAGUUCCACACAUUUCCUUAACAUUUGAAAAUGUGCCACUGUCGAUUAUGUCUUUGUUGGGAUUAUUAUGAUCUAGCGUCUAGGCCUAGUUUUCUUCCCUUGAUUGAAGUAAGUUCAAAGUAGUUUCCCCUUGCAUAGACAAUUUGGUAUCCUUGUCAGAAAUGUAAUUUUAUUGGGCUGAAAGGUAAAAUCUUGUUCUGCUCUCAAAUCAGAUGAAGAUAUAUUGUUAAAGGCAUUUUACAAUCCCACGUCACAGCUGCACAAGUAUUUUUCUUGUGUUCUUGUUUUCUGGUCUCUCAUUCUGUGAUAAGCAGGUUUUAUUCAGUCUCUGCUUUCACAAUCUUCUCUCAUCCAUUCAAACAAGCUUGACAACUGUUACUAAAAUUUUGUAUUCCGGGGCCAUGUAGGCUGGAGUGCCUUUUAGGCCGCUGCUGGUCGAAAAACUUCCGGAAUUGGUCACGGUCUUGCAGAACCCGAAAUCGGAGAUUUUGAGGACAAAUCUCGGAGAAAUCAACACGUUGGCCGGCUUGAUGUCUCGAUGAACGAAGCGUUUGGAGUGAAUGUAAGCCAAUCCACUGGUCAUUUGAAAUAACCCAUCGACCUCGGCAGGCAUCUGGCCUGAAUAAUCUCCUCGAAUGUAAUCGUCGACCGUCGCAACGCAAAGCUCCAAAAUAAGAAUCUUUAGGACUUCAUCCAAUUUCCAGCGCUCGUUGGGAUUUUUUUUCGUCAUUCCAUCAAUCACGGCGAAUGCGUAAUGAUUCGGUGACAACUUUCCAUUGUCGAGAACCUUUAUAUCUGAUUGGAUGUUGGAGAUAGUUCCAAACUCGUCGGGCGAUCCUCCAUUUUUGGCAAACGGAUGGCAGCCUUCUGUGAGGCGAGUAAUAGAUGCGGGUGCCUUUUGGGCCACUAGUCAUCGAGAAACUGCCGGAACUUGUCACGGGCCGACAGACUCCGAAAUCGGAAAUUUUUAGAACAAUCGAUUGAGAAAUCAACACGUUGGCCGGCUUGAUGUCUCGAUGGACCAAACAUUGGGAGUGGAUGUAAGCCAAUCCGCUUGCCAUUUGAAUCAACGCAUCGAUCUCGGUGGGCAUCUCCCUUUUAUAGUUUCCUUUGAUGUAAUCGUUGACUGUUGCAAUACAUAAUUCCAGUAUCAGAUACCU
rnacentral:lncRNA from 1 species